GCGAAAUGAAACCCCAUGGUGGUCCAAAAGAGUGUGUGGGGCUGUUCCUGGACACCAAACACUCCAUAUUAUGCCUGCAUGCAGGUGAAGUGAUGUUGGUCACGGGACGGAACGACAGAUUCCCUUCUCCCUCUGGAGAGUACUUACACAAGACAGAGAAGUGGGCUUGUGAACAACCAAGUGGAAUAAAAUUGUCACUGUGUUGCUGGCAGACUUUGAA